rnacentral:rRNA from 1 species
UACGUAGGGCGCAAGCGUUUGUCCGGAAUUAUUGGGCGUAAAGAGCUCGUAGGCGGUUUGUCGCGUCUGCCGUGAAAGUCCGGGGCUCAACUCCGGAUCUGCGGUGGGUACGGGCAGACUAGAGUGAUGUAGGGGAGACUGGAAUUCCUGGUGUAGCGGUGAAAUGCGCAGAUAUCAGGAGGAACACCGAUGGCGAAGGCAGGUCUCUGGGCCGUUACUGACGCUGAGGAGCGAAAGCGUGGGGAGCGAACAGG